CUGUUUUCAGCGGGAUAUUUGCAAUACUAGUAUCAGAUUUCGUGGCUCUCUGGGCUGGCGUGGUCAGCUGUUUUGACGUGAUGUCAUUUCGCGACAGCCGAUAAUAAUGUUGAUUAACGCUGUAUCGGAGCCGAUGCUGGACAGUGUGAAAACUGAAUCUCUCACUUGAGUGUCAGUGACAGGCAAUGUCAACACUGACAACAGCUACUAAACCAAUGACGUCCCAGAGAAGUGGAGUCUGUCUGGGGCCACCCACCCCCUGCCAGUGGGAAGGUUUGUUUACAGCUCUGGAAGGAGACAGGUCACUACAAAAAGCUGAGAUAUGGCUUAGGGAGAACAUGUCAACACUCUACGCAGAUCAUGUUCCAGCGCAAUGGCAAGUUCUGCUAGAAUUCCUGUCGGAUCAGGUUGUCUCAGGAAGCCGUGAGAAGUUUGUGCUAAGUUCUGUGUACAGUAGCCUGCCCCCUGAUCUUCAAAGGAACAUUGUAGCUGUCAUCUUCCAGCAUCGAGGGGACAUCAAAAUGGAGGUUCUCAGACAGUUUGUCCUGGAGGUGAAAGCUCCACACACCACCAUCUCCUGGACCACCCUGUUGUGGCGGCUGCUGGCUGAGCAUGUUGGUGUUACACCCACAGUGAAUCCCACCAUGGCACUUCUUGGACAAGAAGUGCCACCUGCUGGCGAUAUGUCACUGCUUCUAAAGAAUCUCCUGACAAGGUGGUGACCAAAACAGCAGGUGCUUGUGGUGCCGCUUGAGUCAGUGAAUGGAUUCAGAAUCCUGGCUUGGAAGGCGGAGAGGAGGAGAAAAAUGCUCUUGGUGGAGGAGAGGAGGAUCCAGACUUCAUAAUUAUCCUGGAUGAGGAUGAAGAUGGAUGUGAACCACCAACAGCCAAGAAAAUAAAAGUGAAGCUUUUGAAGAAAGGAAACCUGCAAUUCCUUGUGAUAAAGAGACAUGUGACUUUGACCAAGAACUUGUGGAUAACGGUAUUAGACUGCGGGAGAUUCUUCUGGGGUCUGCAGAUGACAGUGUAAGCAUUGAAGGGAGCUUGAACCAUUCUGCUUACACCACCCAACAAGCUCACAGCACUGUGUCGAAAGCAAGUGAGUUGACCAACCUACCAGACCAAGUCCUGGCCGUCGUGGGGAGGGUGCUGGUCAAGAUGGCCGAGGCGUGACAUACAGAUCUUGUGUGGCUCUGCUGGCUGGACUAGUCACCGAUAAGGUGAGGAGCCUGGAGCAGUCAGCAGCGAGGACACUGCAGGACACACUGAUCUCACUGGCCGAGACUUUCCCUCAUCAACUCCAUUGAUGCUAUAGUGGUUCCAUCUGUAGUACAGGAAUUAGGUGCAGCCCAGAGUGAGAUUCUUUGUCGCCUGUGUAAAGACUCUCUGUUGCCAAGCCAUCAUGCUUAUCUGCUCAGGAUGUUUGUCAGACAGACUGUGAUGCUUAGUGAGCCUUCACUUACCCUUCUUCAUAUU